CCUGAUCCCAGUGAGCGAGAGGGGGAGGAGCCUUAGGAACUUGGAUCAGAGAGGCUGGAGGAGACGGAUCCCAUAGACCUUAACAGUCAUUGGAGACCUUUAGAUUUGAUUCUCAGUAGGAUGGAAAUCACUAGAGGGUUUUGAACAGGGAAGUAAUAUGAUCUCACUGUUUUAAAGAAUGCUUUCUGGCUGCUGAGGGGAGAGACUCACAAGAGAAAGAGGAGAAGCAGGAGGGAGGCCAAUAACCCAGGGUCAUUUGAGUUUUCUGAAAUUUACAUCUGAAAAAAUCCUAACUGAUAGAGAUAUCGGUACCAGGAAGUCAGAACAGAUGCUGCACAACAAUCUUCUGCAACCAGGAGCCCUAAGAGGAUAGCAGCAUGGAUGAAUCACUUCCUAGGAUGCUGCAGAGUGUUUCAGCCCCACCAACCAGAAAAGCCAGCAUCAGUCGGAAGGGUGGGCCCCAAAACUCCCUGGAUUUGAGCCUCUUAAUAGGCAAAACUGUUUUCAUAUAAACCCCAAUCAACAUCAUAUGCUCAGAUUCAUAAAGAAAAUUUCAAGUCAUUAUGGUUUAUUUCUGCUAAGUAGGAAGAACUACUGAAGAUCCUUUAAAAUAUAUUGUAUCAUGUAUACAUUAUUGGAUUUGAUUCUGGAAAAUAAUAUAUUCUAGUUCAUAAUCCCUUGCUUGCAAAUUGAAAGCUUUUUUCUUAGCAAAUUUGGCAGCAAAACCUGAUCUGAUGUGAGAGGAUUUAUCUUUUAUUUAAAAGUUUACUUGGUGUAACUAUUCCUUUGUUUCACUGCAGAAAUAGAAUAUGUUUCAUUAUAUGGUGCUGUCUCUAACUCCACAAAAUGUAGGGUAAUAUAUGAUACAGUUAAUAAAGUCCAAAAAAUUCUGACCUUCAAGGCAUGUCUGGCCCCAGAAGUUUUGGAUAAGGAAUCUAUAUUCCAUUAUAACACUCACCCAAUUCUAUUAUCUUGAGAUGUAAUACUUCCAUAAUGUGUGGGCUUUGAAGUAUCCAGCAAAAGCAAAGUCACAGAAACACAAUUAGCAUGAUUUGAGCAUUUGGAAGUAAUAUAACUGAAAGCUGUUCCAAGUUUCCUCUGAUCUAAAGUAUGCAUAUAUGCUAUUAUACUAUUGAUUUUCCUACAUGUACAUACUUCUGUGAGCUAAGCGAUGCUUCUGACUGUGAGGAAACUUUUACAGGUAAAUCCUUUAUAUCAUAUCCAACCACAAUCUGGGCAUUGCAGGCAUCAGAACAAUUUCCAUAGCUUCUAAUUUUCCCAAGUGUUUUGUUGUUCUCAUUUUAUAAAUUUUAUAAUCUUCUUGUACUUAAACUUUUUCUCCCAAGAGUUUGAAGAAACAGCACCUAACUUUUGGGAGUAAUGUUUCUAUUCUUUACAGGGCACAUAUCUGGUACUGGGCUGCAAACCUCAUUAUGUAUAUCAUUUCUGAAUCCCACCAUCAUCCUGAGAGAUAUUUUCUAUUCCUCUCAUCACACAGCUGAGCAAACUCAGGCACAAUGUGUCCCAGGCCACAUAGCUCUUAAGUGACAGAACAGAAUUUGAACCCAGGAAUGUCUAGGUCUAAAACCUGUGUCUUCCCAAAAUAUCAUGGGGCAGAUAAUUGACCCAUGCUCCAAUCUCAUUCUCAAACUGUGCAUAGUUGGAAGAAUAAGCCUGCUUUAUCCGUGGUAGAAAUUAGAGUUUAAUUUUUUUUCUAAAUGCUUAUGACAAUGUUUUUACACUUCCAUAAAAGAAGACAUAGUAUCUGGUUUUCAAAGAUUUAACUCUAUAGCCAUAUAAAAUGUCCAUCACUAUAACUUUGCUUUUCUGUUUUUUUAAAUAAAUGCAAAUAAUUGGUAUUGGGUAGGCUUAUCAACAAACACAGCAAAAUCAGAUACUCAAUAUUUACCCACCUUUUAGAAGCAUCAUCUACAUUUAUUGGAAAUAUUACCAUACAAGGGGAAGAGAAAGGCUUACACCUCAUAACAACAUAGCAUAAAAGGACAGAGAUGAAGAUCAUUAAUGAUUUUAAUUAUUUUAAGGACCAUUAAAAUUAGAGAAAUAUCAAAGCACCCACAGUGUUAAGGGUUUAUUAUUACAGCAUUUUAGAGUUUACUAGUUCAUACCUUUCAAUCACAGCAAGUUAUUAGCAGUGAAGGGAUGAACCCUCUUAAGAGGAUUUUUAUUUCAAUGAUAGGGUGUUACGGACAAGACAACCUAAGUUUAAAAAAAAUUAGUAGCAAGCGCUAGUUGAGUUAAUCAGUUAAAGACAAACUGUGCCCUUGGGAAGCUAAAUGAAAAAGCAACAGUAAAGCUUACAGAACUUAGCUCGUACAAUUUGCCUUGAAGGCGGAAGAUUGGUUCCCUGAAAUAGCAAAGAAUUAUAUGCUUUAGUUCAGAAAAAAAGUUUUUAAAAUAAAGUCUGUUAUUACCUCUUCUCCUUUCAAAACAAUGGGAAAAAAAUCUAGAGCAGAGGUUUCAAUUUGUUCAAUAAUUGUACCUCUGAAAGUUUUUUAAAAACUAUAACACCAUCAUUGUUUUGACUUGAAAAGAAAUAACAAUGCAAAUAUUCAUUAUCACAUAAAACAUAAAAGACACAGCAAACUGUUGAGUUAAUACAAUCUCUGCAGAGCGCUAUUAGUCAGAGACAGCUGGUCAGCCCAAAACACAAAAACUCAAAAGAUCAGAUCUUCUUAGGAAUUAACAUCUUCAUUAACCAACAAGAAUUUAGUGUGGCAGAGAUUACAUCCAACAACUGCGUUCUUCAUGAGCUGUCCCUUCACUGAUACCAAGCUGUGCAAAUGUGUGAACUAGUUAGCAACCCCAGAAAGCUCAUGCAACUACUCACCACAUUUUAACCUUCAACUGACUCACAAACUCAAUGUUAAAUUAAACUUAGGGGUAACGUAAGCAAGCAAAAUAGGACAUGAGGAGUCAAAUUUGAAAUGCAGAGCAAGUAGCAGAAAGGUUAUUUAAAAUAAAUCAAUAUGGUUAACUGCACAAAAUAGCCAAAAAGAAAUGCAAUUCACUCCAAAAAUUUUAAAAGCAAAAACAAAUCAAAAUGAAAGCUGCAUUUCAAGCAAAAUUUGCACGUGAUUAAUUUGCAUUAAAAAAAUAGUCAAUCAAGCGAUUUAGUUCAAAUUCUUUGGGACAUGCAUACACUGAUUCUCUUAUGCAAUUCCUACCUGAUUUCCAACUGUGGUUUUCUUGUGAACCUGACUGCUCCUCUGCUGAGCACUGAGAAAAGCAAAGGAAAGCAGCACUGAAGAGACACAUAUAAUUUUUUCCUAAACAAGUAACAAAUACUAAAAUUUAUACAGGCUUUAAAAAAAAAAUCAAUGGAGACAGACCUAAUACCAAAAUUCCAGGUCAGUUUAAUUCUGGAAGCAAAACCAACUCAAUGGGACUCCUAAUAGCACAUAACUCCUAGUAGCAUAUAAACCAAAAAUAUAAUAACACCACUUAAAGAAAAGCUGCAUUGUAACAUUAAUAACAUACGAGUUGACAUAUUUGCAGUGUCUCACAGGUACAGAGGAGAGUUGUAAUGGAAAUUAAGUUAAUGAUUAUUGAGUAUAUGCCAUGUUCUAAGUGCUUUAUCGAUAUUAAUCAUUUUUAUUCUCACAGCAACCCCAUGAAGCAGUUACGAUUAUUCUUCUUGUUUCAUAGAUGAGGAGAGAAGCUAAGUGACUUUCCCAAAAUCACUCAGCUAAUAAGUGGUAGUACCAAGUAGCAUGGCUCCGCAUCACAAACUCUUUGUGAUAUUGUCCAGUCUCACUGCUUUGAAUUCCAAUAUAUUCUGACAACUCCUUUAAUGCAUCUCUGGUUUGGAUCUGCCAUGUAGAUCCAAAUAUGUAUGAGUCCCAACUCUGGACUUAUUGAUGUUUUUAACAACUUAACCUCAUCACUUGGGUAUUUAAUGGGCAUAUCAUUCUUAAUAUUUCAAAACUAAACUCCUGAAAUCCCCCCUAAAAUCUGUUCCACCCACAGUCUUCCUUCCUCCUCUUAACUAAUGGCAAUUCUAUACCAUACAUUCAAGUUCCUUGGCCAAAAUCUUUGUCUCCUCUUUCUCUCACAACCCAUAUCCGACCAUCAGAAAAUGCUGUCGACUACUUUCUUAUAAUAAAUUUAACAUUUAACCAUCUUUUCAUCACUUCCAUUGGUCCCACCUUGGUCCAAGACACUGCCAUCCCUCAUCUGGAUUACUGUAAUCAUUUAUUCUCUGGUCUCUGCUUCCACACUUGUCUCCCUGAAGUCUAUUCUUAACAGACACCAGAGUGAUACUUUCAGAAGGACUAUGUUAACUCUUCUGCUCGAAACCGUGUACUGCAUCAACACCAUUCCAUUUAAUGGUAAAAACCAAAGUCCAUACAAGGGUCUACAAGGCCCUACUCAAGCAACCCCCACUACUGCCUCUUUGACUCAUCUCCUCCUACCCUUCACCUUGUUCCCUGAAGAGUUCCAGCCACACUGGCAUCUGCUCUUUUUCAAACCCACCCAAUACACUCCCAUUUAGAGCCUUCAGGCAAGCUAGCUCCCUAGGAUGUACUUCCCGCUUUCAUCUGCAUGGUUCCCAACAUCUCUUUCAAGUCUUCAUUCAAAUCCUUCUUUUCAGUUAGGACUACUCUGACCACCCUAUUUAUAACCGCAUCCCUCCCUUCCUCCAAGACUAUCAUCCCCUUUACCCUGUUUGAUUUUUCUGUCUGGCAUUUCUCACCUUCCGAUACACUACACGGUGUAUUUAUUUUUUGUGUUUGUCUGCCCUUUUCCAUUAGACUGUAAGCUCCUAAUGAGCAGGGGUUUGCGUCUGUUUUGUUCACUGCUAUAUCCCCAGGGCCUGCAAAGGACAUGGCACAUGGUUGGUUUCAUGAAAUAUCUGUUCGAUGAAAAGCCCAAUGAAGUUGAUGCCAUUAUAACCCUCAUUUUAGACAUAAGCACAGAGGGUUAAAAGCCAGAAAGGACUCCAACAACUUAACAACAGAGCCCACACGUUUCAUCACUAGGUUACUCUAUCCCUCAAAAGGACAAAGGCUUUCUUUUGGUGGAUCCAUGAAUAAACACGUAUCAAUAUAAGAAACACAACUCAUUUUGGUUAUUCUGGGAAGAUCAGCAAUACUCAGUAUUCUUACAGAUUGUUUAAUAGUUUAUGGAAGCUGUUUUGGAGAUCAAUGAAAUGGUCUAAAAUAGAGAAAAGGGAGACUAAAGCUCUCAGUCAACUGUUUAAAGUGAUGGGAUGUUGUGCUGCAGUAACAAGUUAGAAAUCAACACCACACUUAGAACAGCUGAUCAAAAUAAGUUUUUAAUAAACUCCUCUGAUACAUUUAAGCUGCUUUCCUUCACUCAAACUCAUGAAAAAACACUGCAUUCAACUGAAGGUGGGCAGGGGGUGGGUGGUGAAAGGCCAUACUGUAUUUGGUUGCUAAAAAUAUUUUGUGUAUAUAUUUUUUUCCAAUUUAAAAUUUGCUAAUUUCAACUUCUUCCUUCCUUGUUUUUUAUUUUUCCAGCUUUCUGUUAAAUGGUUAAUCCUCUUAAUUACGAUGAAAUUAUUUCCUCUUUAACCAUUUCUCUGAACAAUCUAAAUCUACAUUAUUCAGGUCUUGUAGGUGAGGCUGUGAAAGAGGUAACCAGGAUCCAAUGUGCCCACACCGCCCUCUGGCUGCCCUCAUGCCCUGGCGCACACAGCGUCUUGAGUAGCACUCUCCUAAGGGCUUCGGAUCUCCUCCUUACUUUCUUUUUCCACAUUAAAUGUCACUUUUCCAGCACCCUCCAGGCUUCCUGCUCUUCCAGGAAUGCAUGAGAAAACUACUAUUAUAAUGAGAUCAUGACACCUUCAUAGGUUAUGUUUAUCUCUUCCAAGCACCAUAAUUGUGUUUUAGGAGUAAUGUUUUCACUGAAACACUGACUAGUGGUGAAAACCUGUGAUAGACCCACAGGUGCUUCCUUUGAACAAAUUAUUGUAGACCCUAAAAUUAUGUAUCAGUCCCCUUCAAAUCACUUAAGGGAAAAGAAGUUGAAUGUAAAGCAAAAGCCGCAAAGAUCGUUAAUGACUCCUUUGCUACCUUAGGUGAAAAGUUUGAUCAAAAUGGACUUCAGUCGCUCAGCUAUAAAAUGUGUAUAUGUGUGUCAUAAAGGAGACAGACAGAAACAGAGACAGAGAGGAGGGCUAGAGGACUAAACAAGUUGUUUCUUAGGUUCCUUUUAGGUCCAAUAUUCCUUGAGAUGCAAAAUUACUCUCAGAAGCUUAUAAGCUACACUAGAUAAAGACAAUGUCCAUUGACAGUUUCCAUCUGUGAAAUAAUGCAUAUUUAGGAUCUACCACUUGUAAGAAUAUGCCAAAGGAAAAGUAGAUUUACUUUAUAAGCCAAUCUCAAAUAUUAGAGUUAGAAAAAACACUAAGUUGCCUCUAUUUUCCACCUAAAGAAUCUUUUUGCAGCAAUUGGCCCCAUAAACUUAAACAUUCUGUUGCUAAUGAUGUAUUUAGCUACUUGAAGUUACUUCAAAAGCAACAACAACAAAAAAAGCUGCCUGCUUAGAAUACAUUCUUUCUCAUAAUUCUUCUGCAUAAUAAUUGAACUGAGAGUAUUUCAAAACAUUUAUUUAAAAAUAUGUUCCUUAAAAAACCUGUAAGGACUUGCAAGUUAACUUGAGCCCUUGGACAUGUUCUUGGAUAUAGUUACUUAACCAAUUAACUCUGAAAUAUUAUAAAACAUACCUAUGUAUGGUGUUUUAGUUUAACAUAAAUCAAAAACUAUAGGGCACGAACUCCGUAGCAUAUAAAAAUAUGAAUAAGGUAUAGUUCUUGUUAUCAAAAGCCUACAAUUUGUCUGGUACAAGUAAUGAUAUGCAUACACAAAACAAAAAUAACAAAUAAAAAAUAAAAUCCAUAUUAAUAAACAUGUGAGGAUGUAAUAGAAAGCAAAAACAAAGUGCUUCUGUUUUAAAUGUGGGAUAUAAUUACCCAUAUCUUCUCAUAUGUGUGUGCGUGUGUGCACGCACAUUUGUCGUUUGUCAUAUAAAUUCCUACUACACACAAGUCACUGUGGAAGGCUUUGCCAGAACACUAAAACGUAGAACCAAAUUGGUGUAUGCUGAGACAUAAUGAUUCUAAAAGUAUAUAACAAGAAGUUUAAACUUCUAUAAAAAUAAGAGUACAUUAGAAGACAAUCAGAGAACCCCUAAUGUUAUCUCUUGGCUCAAAACUUUUUUGCACAGUGUCCUAUCCUUGUCUAUGAUGUGUGACCAUUUAUCAAAUAAAUCCUAUACCAUUGUAAUUUCUCUGAAUGUUCAGGGACAAGAAAUAUAAUUUCAGAUGAUAUGAUCUGAACUGUUUGUAGCAAACUUGAAAAGAAGAUAAACUUUAAUAAAGGAAAACAAAUGACUACGUUCCAAGAGAAUAGACUGGUAUUAGCAAAGCCAGGAAGUAGAAAGAUGAGGCAUAUGGGGAAGUUGUGGAGAGUAAAACUAUUAUGGUAGAAUUAUCCAAUCAUAGACUGGGGUUUGUAAGUGAUCUUAAAAGCCAUCUAGUAUAAUAACUGUACGUUGGGGCCAGUUAUGGAGAAUUUGGCUGUUACUCUGAAGGCAGCAGAAAACAUUCCAUGUUUCUGUGCCAGCAAGUGACAUGAUCAAGGCAAUGUUUUAGUACAAAUUAGUUCCCUGAAAUGCAUAGUAUUGACUCAAGCAGAGAAGACAGGAAGCAGUCAGCCCAGACCCCCUGUCUCUGACUAUUGGAGUCCUGUCCAGUCUUAAAACUCCAAUCAAGCAUCAUGCCUGAAUUAUGCCUUUUUAGAAACCUCCAGUUAUCUCUCCUUUUCAUGCACUCCCAAAGCCUUGGUCUGUGCCUGUAUUUUAUAAACAAGAUUGUAAGUUGGGUUUCCAACAAUGCCUGCUCCUUGAUAGUCAAGAGCAUCAAUCUUGGUAUUUCUACCUCUCUCAUCACUGACAUUACCUAGCAGAGGGUUUAUGGUAGUAUCUUAAGAAAUACGUAUGGAAUUCUGUUUUGAUGCCAGGGUUAUUUACAACCAGACUAUCAAUGAUCAUCUGUACUAGGAAACCUAAAUAAUUUGAAGAAGCAUAUCAUAGGCAUGUGUUAAAGCAAAAGUAUGGUACAGUUAGGGAUCCCAAAGUGGUCAGACUGGCUGCAGCAUGGACUUAGGGAGUAGAGUAGAAAGGAAUAGUAACAAUAGAAUAGGCUGAAGAGGUAAACAAGAUACAGAUUAUAGAGAGCCUUGGAAAUUACAUUAAUAAGUUUAGACUUUAUUCUGAAAGUAACAGAGAAUCUCAGAAGGAAUGAGAAAGAGGAUGACAGGGGUACAGAGAGACUGUUGUAGUAACUCAAGUAAGAGAAGACUAACUUUAGUAGUGGCAAUGAUGAUAGAAAGAAAUAGAUGAAUUCAAAAAAUAUUAUGGAGAUAGAAUCACAUGAACUUGGUAAAGAUGGAUGGAGACAAAGAUAUGAGGGGAACAAGGAGCAAAGAAUAGGACUGGGAGGUGCCAUCCACAGAAAGUGGGAACAACAUAGAAGUUAAAAAUUAUAAGAGCAGAUGAGGAGUUUAGUUUGGGACUAGAAGGUUGAGGCUUCUCUAGGAUAUAUAAGUAGAGAUGUCCAAUAGACAUCUGAAUAUGGUACAUAGUCCAGUGAAAAGUCUUGAAAUGAAGAUCUAGAUUUGGAGUCAUCAGAUAAAGUUGGCAACUAAAACCAUUGGAGUGGGUAAGAUCCAUUAGGAAUAAUGCAGUGAGUGAGAAAGAAGGGGGUCUAGGGUGGAAAAUUGAUUAAAGAAUAGUUCUUAAGCCAUGAUCAGAAGAUGAAGAGCUCCUAAAGACUGAGAAGUGGCUAGAGUGAAAAGAGGAAAACCAGGAGAGAGUGGAAGGUUAUUGAAGCAAAGGAACAGAUCUCUUCAAGAAGGAGUGAUUAACGGUGGUGUCAAAUGAAAGGCUCAGAAUUGUCCAUUGGAUUAACUGUUUUGUCCUGGACAAAAGCAGUCUCAGUGGAGUGGAGUGGUAGAAACUAGAUUGCAGUGGGCCGAAAAGUGAAAGGAAGAUGAAAAAGAGAAUGGAACACAGACUAAGGCCACUCAAAGAGGGCUCAGAUGCAUUAAGGAAAUGGAGAGUCCCUUUGAGAUGUAGAUUCCAUAGCAAAUAUCAGAGUGUGCCUCUACCUCUACCCACAUUUCAACUGCUCAACAGCCACAUACAGGUAGUAGCUUCUGUACUGAACAGCACAGAUUAUACGAUAGUUCCAUCAUCUCAGAAACUUCUAUUGUGCAACAGUGCUAUAGAGUAAAGAAGCUCUUUUAGACUUGUUUAGUAGCAAUUAAGAGGCUUCCUUGCUCUUUCUCUCAGUAGCUACCACCAUAGGUCACCACUAAGCUGUCAAUAAAGUAGGACCCACAGUGAAGGUCCCAGAGCCAUCAGCCGGAGUCACUAUACUGUAGGGCUCUGCCGUCCAAUGCAGUAGCUGGUAGCCAGAUUAAAACUUUAAUUAGAUUGAAUUAAAUUAAAAAUUUAUUGCCUUCAUUGCACUACCCACAUUUCAACUGCUCAAUAGCCACAUACAGCUAGUGGCUUCUGUAUUGAACAGCACAGAUUAUACAAUAGUUCCAUCAUCUCAGAAAGUUCUAUUGUGCAAUGGUGCUACAGAGUAAAGCAAUUUUAGACUGUUCUUUUAUAUUAUCCAAGAAAGAUUAUGAACACUUCACAAGAGUCCCAAGAGUGUAACUUAUCACAGGUUACACUGUGAUAGUCCAGGCUCCGUCCAAUCAGACUGAAGCCAAAGGGAGAAGAAACAAUGUCCGUUUCUCCUCCAGGAUCUUUAAUGAAGGCUCAGGCUAUUAUGCAAGAAAAUCUUACAGAACUUGGGAGUCUGCAAAAGAAGAAUCACUUACCUCCUAAGAUUCAUGUUAAGGAUGAAGAUGAAGUUUAAAAUAACAUAUUUGAGGAUGAAAGAGAAAACUGGAAGUCUACUUAUUUUUAAAAUGGUGCUUGGAACAUUGGAAUUUAUAACUUAUUUGAACAGGAUAUGUGAAUGGUAUCCUUUCAAGUUGCUCAAUCCUGUAUUUCUACUUGACAACAAUCUCAGUAAGCAACCAAGCAUUUAAUUCCUAAAUUUGCAUAUAAGUCAAAAAAAGGAUCUUUUUAUACUCCAAUACCUAAGUUUUGAUUCCACAAGAGAGAGAACAUUCUCAUGUAAGAUUAGGAACUAGAAACAUUAUUACAAUAGAAUAUAAUUAUGCAUUAGGGAAAAAUAAACUAAGAAUGUAAAGGGAAAGACUAAGAUUGCUCUGGAAUUUAGUGGCAAGGUUGAAAUGCACUGCCUUCAGUAAAACGGCAAUAGAGGCAUUCCAGAGGAUCAGGAAAAAGAUAUAACAAAUCUUAAGACCCAUAGAAUUUUCAUGGUGCUCAAAUAACAAGAACUGAAAUCUGCACACUGUAUCAUUUCAACUGUGAGAAAACAGGUGUUGAGACCUACUGAGCAGAUUGAAAAACAAACAGACCUUGGUCUGCUGCUUGCGGUGUAUAGAGAUAUCACUCUAACGGCACAUAUCUAUAGUCCCUCUUUCUCUUUAACCAUUGGACUGCAUAAAUCCUAGUAACUCAGAAAGCAAAUUGUGUCAUGGAACAAAUGAAGAAGAGCAGAGGAGUUUGAAAUUUCACUUCCCAAGGCAUUCCACUAACAAGAUUGCCUUUUUGUUCAAAAGAGGAUUACUGAGGACGAGGGGAAGUGAAUGAAGGAACAAUUGGGCCAGUUCUUAUUUUCUUAAAUAGCAAAAACUAGCUAUAUUAUGUAAAAAUAUAUGUAAUUUAGGGUUUUUUUUUUUCUAAAGCAGAGAAUGACAAAUUAAAACCCUUAAGUCACAAAGAAAUUUGACGUUUUCUUCUGAAAUGCUGAACUUUCAGGCUCAGAAACUAUAUUAUAGUUGAAAAAACAUUUAGAAGCCAGGAAAUUCCAAAGCAAGCCUAGAGCAGUGCUUAUUUGGACACAUUACACACGGUACAUAUUUUACAGGCCAUGUCUAACAAAUAACUAGAAGAUGGAAAAAAAGUGUCACAUAUUAAACAUGACAGUAUAAAUUCUAUAACAGAAAGAAGAAUUUUGAGAUGUCCUGAAUGCUACUCUGAAAGUAAAUAUUUUAUUAAUCCAAUUUUAGCAAUUCAUUUUCAUUUUUUAAAAAAUUAGAACAAAAAGUCAUCCAAGUUGAAAAAAAUUACAUGUGUAAAGUACUAUGUACAUCACCAUCCUAUAAAUCUGGGAGGCAGUUCCUUCCCUUUUGGCAACUCUCUAAAAAUCUCAUGAAACAAAUGCUUGUUUUCUUCAACCCCAGACCUUAAUUUUCUGUCUUUGGAACUUAAAAAUACUUACAUAAUUGUCUUCAAAUAUGGCUUGACUUUUCUUCCUUGAUGGAAACAGCAUUCUUGCCAACUUUAAAAUUUAUAGCUACAACCAUAUUUUUUUAAUUUUUAAAAGCACAAAAAAUACCACAACCCCUCAAAGUGAUUUUGAAAUGAACAUUUCUUCAUCUUCAUAAUCACUCCACGUCACCCCAUGUCAAUUCCAAGUCGACAUACAAAUGGAAAGGACAUUUAUCUCUGAGUCUUGGGGCAAAAUAUCACAUUUAGAGAUAAUGAUAUUAGCAGCUAAAAAAUAUUCCAGUGACAAUCAUACUUAAGUCAUUAUAACUACAUCAUAAAGUAAAAUGGUACAUCUAGUAAUCAAAUGUGAGUGUAUGUGUGUGUAUGUGUGCACACGUGCAUGUAUGUGGAGAGAGUGAGAGACAGGGAGGAUCUCUCACAUUUAUAGACUACACCAUAGUUUUUUUUAAAGGAUUUCCACAUAACUUGAUUAAUUUGAUCUUCUGACAAUCCUGAAAGGUAUACAAGACAAGGAUUAUUAUUCCAUUUGAUACAUCAGUAAACAGAUAGAGAAAGGCUGAGCACCUUGCCAAAACCCAAAGCUCAUCAGUGGCAUAUCCUGGAAAAACAACCUGGAUUGUUGACUCCCAGAUCAGUCCUUUAAAGAAGGUUUAAGUGUGCAAUUUAAAUUAGAUGAGAAAUGUGUAGAGUUGCUGGCUUUCUAAAGCAGUUUUACCUAUGCUUCUUUUUUUCUCCCCAAUAUCAUAAAGAUUCAUAGUCUAUCUCACUGCUGGAAAAAUAGGACCAGACACCUGGACCAGAAAAAUAGGACCAGACACAGAGAGACUACGUCAAAAGAUUGUGUUUGAAAGUCUUAAAUUUGAAAAAUCACCUGCCCUUGGAAACCUAUAAAUCAAUAUAAUCAAUAUAAAACCAUAGUCCAACAGCUUCUAAGGCAGCAAAUAUGGAAAUUUAUUGGAAAAGAAACUCUAGCUCAUUUAUCAUAGAAAAAAAAAGUUUCAAGAAGAUUAUAAAGGUGAAAUUUAAAUUGAAGCACGGGUUAUAUAAUAUGUUUAAAUUUGAACCUUUCUAAAUGGAUUAUGACUUUUUCUACAUUUUCCCCCUCUAAUUGUGGUACCACAACAAGGCAGCAUCCUUUUCACUUUUAAGUUAUUGUGUCAAGUUUACAUCGACAUCUGCUACAUUUUUGUAAGAACCUAACUGGCAUUUGUAAUCCAUGAAAAUCAACAUUAAAGGCAGCAUUCCUAUUAUUUUAAAUGUCUCAAGGAUUUGUUUGUCUUUUAAAUUCCUCAGAGAAGCAGUGAGGAAAAUGAAGAAUGUGUCAGUUUAAAUUUUUACUUGUGUGUCUCUAUACUUUUCAAUUAUUUGGCAAGCUCCUAAAAGGCAAAAAGUUUUUUUCUUUUUCUACAUUCCCCCCCCACCCACUAUAGAAACUAGAGUAGAGCUUGGCACAGGCUCCCUAGAGUUCACUGACUGUGGAGGAAACCUGGAAAAAAUUUCUGGACCUAGGGAUAAGGAUGUAUGUUACAGUUUAGGUGAGUCUGCAGAAGGAAAUGAACAGAACACAUGGUGAGAGUCUUGGGGCUAAAAGAGAGGAGGGCAAGUCUGUGCGAAAUGCCUGUGCAGCAAAUACCUAUCAAGAAGUGGGUGUGGGCAGGGUGGCUGCAAAGACAACUAGACUAGGGCACAUAUUUAUCGUUGGGUUCUAACAAGAAUACACGUAUGCCACAGACAGAAAAUGGUGGAAGAAAUCUUAUCUACCCUUCACUAGUAAUCGUCAUUGGAUGCAAAAGAUAUUUACACAAUUGGCUAGGACAUCACAACCACAGCCAAGUUUAGGAUGAGAUAAUUUUCAGUUGGAUAAUUGGGACUGUUCUCCCUAAAACAUGCCUGUAAAUUCCUCAGGCCACUGUUUAGUUUAGGUCACAGGGUCUGCAUAUCCAUUUCUUCUAAGUCAGAAUGUAAUAAAAUAAAUUAAUUUGACAUUCUGUCAUUUUUUUAUUUGUCUCUGUUCUUGAAUACUCAGUUUAAGUAAAAGUACAUAGGCUCUUUUGUUUUACAUUUUACAUAAAAUAGGCUAUAUUUUAUAUACUUGAAGUUGGAACCACUUAAAUGCAAAAAUAUAUUUUAGAGGUGAUAUCAAGAUUAUUUAAAUCAAAAACUGGUUUCACUAAUGGGCAGGAAAAGAUAGUGCAUUCAAGGUCUUCAAAAUGUCACACAGUGAAUAGCCAAUCCUGAGUAACUAACCAUAACG
rnacentral:lncRNA from 10 species